UUUAGAAUAAGAACAGAGUCCAGUCACGGUCCACUGAGCCACAGUGGGUGGUUGUCCGCUGGUAGCUAGAGGAUCCCCUGAGAAUGAAAUGAAACGUUCGCGAUUAGCGCUGGCGCCACCACGGACAGAGAGAAGCGAGGUCUAAGGGCCUUCUCGACUGGAGUUUCCCUGGGGCAGAGUUCUGGCAGAAGCAGCUGCAGCUGGUGGUUUCAGACCGGAGCCCCGGGGCCCUGGGAUGCAAGCUCAGCUCUGUCUAAAUUUAGCAUUUAAAGAGGUUCCCCCAGAAGCAGCAGUGGAAGACAACGGCGACCCCUGCUGGUUUCCGUCGAGAAUCUCAGAAGUUCAGGGAACUGAAAUCCACUCCAAACCCAAGACCAAGCUAAGAAGGAAGAGAGGGAGCCACGGGCGUGCAAGCAGCCAGGAGGAGGGCGCUCAGCAGCCUUGCAGAAUGCCUUGGGACGCUUUGCAAGAGACAGGGCGAAAUGCCCCGGGCAGCUUUUGAGGCCAGGGCAGCACUGGCCUUAGAUGAUCACAGGACAUAUCCAGCGCUGGGGACUCACUGACACUUCGCUGAAUCGCCUGGACCUAAGAAACUGAGCUUUGAGCACAGCGUACCUCUCCCGCAGGAAUGGAAAAACUGGCGGCUGUCCCCUCAGCGCCCCCUGGUGGCUCCGUCAGCACCGUGCACGGCAAGGGGCCAGCGGGGCCUGUGAUGCCGCGAAGAUGGCCAGAAAACUGGGCGAUCCUCCCCACUUUAAAAUGAAAAGUUCAGCAAACCACGACUGGGAUGGAUGACUGCGCUUCCUUCUGGGUGCCGGGUGAUCGCUGAGAAGCUACCCACAUCUUAGUGUCCGAAUAUAGGCCGGGAGGUCAGUCACCAGGGACGUUGGCACUACUAAUUCUUUUGUUUUUUGAGAUAGGAUUUCUCUGAGUAACAGCCCUGGCUGUCCUGGAACUUGAUUAGUAGGCCUUCAACUCACAGAGAUCCACCUGCCUCUGUCUUCUGAGUGGGGGGAUUAAAGGUGUGGACCACCAAGUCCAGCUACUGAUUUUUGAACGGAGUUAAGGAGUCUGUCUGUGUGGUAAUAGAGACUGGGGACGUGGGCUUUUCCUCUUAGACUGAGAUAUUGUAGUCAGCUUUGAUGGGUGCUAAGGUUUGUACACCAAGUCUUCAAUACCUUUCCCUUCCCCUAAGGCUCCCGUGAAGCCCAGGACCCCUGGAUCCAGGGUUCACGAUGGCACUGAUUUCAUCAAAGGAGUGUUAGGACAUGAAGCCUGCUGGGAGGAAACAGGUCAGUGAGGGGCAGGAGUGAAUGAUGUACCUUUCCCGCAGCUCUCUGCCUCCUGAAUGGCAUGGACUGGCACCUCUGUUCUCCGAAUGCUCCUAGCUCUGCCAAGUGUUCCCUGCUGUGAAGAUCCUGCCUCACCUCAGGCUGAAAGCAAUGAGGCCAGCCAAGCAUGGGCAAGAACCUCUGGGUUGUGGUGAUGUCUGAGAACAUCUGCACGACCCUACAUUUAAGGAUCAAUGAAAAUCACAGAAGAGGAAGCAGAAAGACUAAGAAACAGAGGCCCAGGGUGUCUUCUAUUAGAUAGCAUCCCCUAGACAUGGACUCUCAAUACAGUUGCCCCAACAAGACCAGCAUCAUGACACCAGCUGACAGGUAACACCCAUUCCACGUGGCCUCACCCCUGUAUAAAAAGCUACAGGCUGCUGAGAGAGGGAGCAGCAGUUUCUUCCAGGCAUGAGCUCGCACGUCGGUCGUCCAAGUGGUCAGCUUUAGUACAUACACAGGAGCAAAGAUAAAUUGGCUCAACGGGAUGUGUGUGUGCAUGUGUGUGUGUGAGUGAUAUAGAAGCAGUGUUCAUGUAUGAAAUCUAAGCCAAACCAACCCCACCUAUGCCAUUAAAAGAAA